UACGAAGGAUGCAAGCGUUAUCCGGAUUUAUUGGGUUUAAAGGGAGCGUAGGCGGUCUUAUAAGUCAGUGGUGAAAUCUCGUUGCUUAACAACGAACGUGCCAUUGAUACUGUAGGACUUGAGUACAGAUGCCGUUGGCGGAAUGUGUCAUGUAGCGGUGAAAUGCAUAGAUAUGACACAGAACACCGAUUGCGAAGGCAGCUGACGAAACUGUAACUGACGCUGAGGCUCGAAAGCGUGGGGAGCAAACGGG
rnacentral:rRNA from 1 species